GAUGAACGCUGGCGGCGUGCCUAAUACAUGCAAGUCGAGCGAAUGGAUUAAGAGCUUGCUCUUAUGAAGUUAGCGGCGGACGGGUGAGUAACACGUGGGUAACCUGCCCAUAAGACUGGGAUAACUCCGGGAAACCGGGGCUAAUACCGGAUAACAUUUUGAACCGCAUGGUUCGAAAUUGAAAGGCGGCUUCGGCUGUCACUUAUGGAUGGACCCGCGUCGCAUUAGCUAGUUGGUGAGGUAACGGCUCACCAAGGCAACGAUGCGUAGCCGAACUGAGAGGGUGAUCUGCCACACUUGGACUGAGACACGGCCCAGACUCCUACGGGAGGCAGCAGUAGGGAAUCUUCCGCAAUGGACGAAAGUCUGACGGAGCAACGCCGCGUGAGUGAUGAAGGCUUUCGGGUCGUAAAACUCUGUUGUUAGGGAAGAACAAGUGCUAGUUGAAUAAGCUGGCACCUUGACGGUACCUAACCAGAAAGCCACGGCUAACUACGUGCCAGCCGCCGCAGUAA
rnacentral:rRNA from 1 species